GACGAACGCUGGCGGCGUGCUUAACACAUGCAAGUCGAACGCUGAAGCCCCAGCUUGCUGGGGUGGAUGAGUGGCGAACGGGUGAGUAACACGUGAGUAACCUGCCCAUCCCCCCGGGAUAAGCGCUGGAAACGGCGUCCAAUACUGGAUACGAGCAGCGACGGCAGGGUCAGUUGCUGGACAGACUGGUUCGGGGAUGGAUGGACACGCGGCCUAUCAGCUUGUUGGUGAGGUAAUGGCUCACCAAAGCGACGACGGGUAGCCGGCCUGAGGGGGUGACCGGCCACACUGGGGCUGGGACACGGCCCAGACUCCUACGGGAGGCAGCAGUGGGGAAUAUUGCACAAUGGGCGCAAGCCUGAUGCAGCAACGCCGCGUGAGGGAUGACGGCCUUCGGGUUGUAAACCUCUUUUAGUAGGGAAGAAGCCUUCGGGUGACGGUACCUGCAGAAAAAGCACCGGCUAACUACGUGCCAGCAGCCGCGGUAA
rnacentral:rRNA from 1 species